GACGAACCGUCCAAACGUUAUUCGGAAUCACUGGGCUUACAGAGUUCGUAGGCGGUCUGGAAAGUUGGGUGUGAAAUCCCCCGGCUCAACCGGGGAACUGCUGGGCAUACUGGCGGGCUUGGGUCGCUCAGGGGCAGACGGAACAGGCGGUGGAGCGGUGAAAUGCGUAGAUAUCGGGAGGAACACCUGUGGCGAAAGCGGCUCACUGGACCACAACUGACGCUGAGGCGCGAAAGCUAGGGGAGCAAACAGG
rnacentral:rRNA from 1 species